CCUAACACAUGCAAGUCGAACGGUAACAGGAAGCAGCUUGCUGCUUCGCUGACGAGUGGCGGACGGGUGAGUAAUGUCUGGGAAGCUGCCUGAUGGAGGGGGAUAACUACUGGAAACGGUAGCUAAUACCGCAUAACGUCGCAAGACCAAAGAGGGGGACCCUCGGGCCUCUUGCCAUCGGAUGUGCCCAGAUGGGAUUAGCUUGUUGGUGGGGUAACGGCUCACCAAGGCGACGAUCCCUAGCUGGUCUGAGAGGAUGACCAGCCACACUGGAACUGAGACACGGUCCAGACUCCUACGGGAGGCAGCAGUGGGGAAUAUUGCACAAUGGGCGCAAGCCUGAUGCAGCCAUGCCGCGUGUAUGAAGAAGGCCUUCGGGUUGUAAAGACC
rnacentral:rRNA from 1 species